UGUCCCCGUGGGCACCCAGAGAUAGCCCACAGCCGGCAUGGGACUGUGUGGAGGUGUCCUGCGUGGAGGGCAGGGGGCAGUGGGGAUGGCCCUGAUGUGCUCAGAAGGACCCCCGCGGUGGGGUUGGACAGGGACACAUAGGGACCGAGGCAUGUAGUGAGACCACUCUUGUGGUGCCUCUACUUGCUGGCUUUGGGACCCGGGGGUGCCUGAGGUGGUAGAACUUGGGAACGUGGAGAAGCCCUCCACUUGGGCUAGGGACAAACAGAAUAGGGAGACAGACUGGGGGGGCUGUAUGGUGAGACCCUCUGGCCGAGCUGGGACAGGGCACAUGGUGGCACCCCACAGCAGGGAUGAACAGGGGACCACCCGCAGUUUAAAGUAAAGCAAGGGCGCAUAGGAGGAGACCUGUAAUGGGGCAGGGAUGCCAAGAGAACAGACCUUUGCACAUAGGGAAGGGCAGAAAAAUGGGGGACAGAAGGGAAAAGUUGGGCAGGCAGAGGGGUGCAGUGGGGCUCCCAUCUCCUAAGGGUAGGCAUCAGGGAGCGCCCUUGAAAAUGGGGUGCUGGGUAGGAUAGCACAGAGCUGAAGGCGUAGGGAGGGUGGGAACCUACAAGCCCACUGACACCCCCUCUACUCUGCAGGCGAGAAGCCCUACCACUGCACCUGGGAAGGAUGUGGCUGGAAAUUUGCCCGCUCCGAUGAGCUGACCCGCCACUACCGCAAGCACACAGGGCACCGGCCGUUCCAGUGCCACCUCUGCGAGCGGGCUUUCUCCCGCUCAGACCACCUUGCUCUCCACAUGAAGCGGCACAUGUGAGCAGUGGCUGCAGCCGGACUCGAUGUCCCUGGAGCCAGCUCACGGUGUAAAUAGUGUUGGGCCAGGGAUGGCAAUGGGGGGUUGCAGCUUUGGCCACCCAGCCCUCUCUGCUUAUAGUUGAUAAGUAGUUCUCUCCUCCUACCCCUGUGAGAGCUGGCCCAGCCAAGUGGUGGGAAAGGGCUGCUUUGGGGAUGUAUGUGGGGAGAAAAACUGCAAGAAACACCUGCCCAGGCAUCACCACUCAGCCCCCCAUGACCUGGAGGGUUCCCCCCAGCCAGGUACCUGGUGAGCAGGGGGCUGGUGCAUAAGGGAUCUGUCCCCAGAACUCCUGGCUUGUAUUUGGCAUCAACUUAACCUUCUUUCCCCAGAUUCUGGCACCCCUCUGGCUCUAGGGGCUGUGCUGGCUGACUGGCUGUUUUUUGGCUAGAUAGCCAUGCCAGUUGGGCACAUUGGUUGUGGUGCUGGGAAAUGGGUUGCUGGUUGUCUCAGUUGUGAUCAUCAGAACAAAUCUCCUGACCCAAAGCCCGGAGUGGAUGGGUGAGGGUGGGAUUUCACUGGCUCAUGCUAUAAAAGUUUGCAGGUGUUGGCAGCACAGCAUCGCCUUGCACAGAGGGCAGGGAUGCUCCUGUCACCAGCCUGGGACUCCACUGGUCAGUCCAGCCCUGACCAUUCCCAGUUUUCCACUCAAGAGCCUAAAAUGUCUCUCCUGGCUCUUGUCUGCUUUAUUUUGUCUUGUUCUUCCCCUCAGGAUGACACCAGGUACUGCUGCAGCUGCCUUCCCCAUGCUGCUUUUUAAAAUUUAGUAUGUAAAGGACAGUGAGUCCAGCUAUGAAUACCCAGGUCUCUGCUAUACUUGAAACUUUUGUAGGAGGGGGGGACAAAAAGAAAGCUCAAAGGAAAAUGAGUCUUUUUAUGUGCAGCUUCUGCAAAGCAAGUUGUAAAUUAAACAAAGCAGUAAUAUAUAAUGUUUCUGUUUUUUUAAUAUAUUUUUUUCUUCCAGCUGGGAACACAGAUGAGUCUCAGCUUUGGGAAGUGCACUGUUCCCAUCUGUGUAUAUUGUUAAUUAACAUUUCUCUGCUUGGGCACGUUAGGUCUCUUGCACUCUGAAAUGUUACUUUUCUUUAUAUGCAAACUGUUGAAAUAUUGUGAUCUGCUGUAUAAUAAAUAAACAAGAUGUAAACAUGAAAGAGCCAGGAGAGUUUACUUUAAAGGUUUCUUCUAAGAGGAGAGGGUGAGGCUGAGCUUGUUUGUCAGUAAAUAUUUACAUCGAUGUUCAUUUCUGCUUAAGUUAGCUGCGGAGGAUCGAUGGGGAACGCCCAAGCCUCGGCAUCUGAGUAGCAUCUCCUGUGCAACAGCUCUUGAGUCACCCCACUUCCCUGUGCCUCAGUUUCCCUAAUCUGCAGAUGGGGCAAUUGCAGCACUGGGAUGGUGUGACUGGUCCUGCGGGGAACGAUGAAUUUCUCCAACCAUCCUGUCCCACUGGAAAGGCUUGCUCUGCUGUCCUGUCCUCCCUAAGCAUCCUGGGAGCCGGAGUGACAGUUCACAGCUGUUUUGAGGUUCAGCUCUGAGAUCAGAGCACAAACCAGUUCUUUCUCGCUUUUCAUCAUUGCUGUGCCAGGGCAGGAGUGAAGUCCGGCUCUGCUGCCACUACCUUACACGGAGAGGUGAGAGCAGGGGAGGCUGCUUUGGCUCCUCCAAACAGAGCUGCUCCAGGUUUGAUCCCCUGUGCCUGGGGCAAGACACUCCUUCAGGCACACAAUGGGGCAUGACAGUCAAAUGGACCAGCAUGGCUGGGAAUCACCUCAUGGCUGGGGAGGAGUGGCUGUAGUGGAAAAGACAAUUACAGUUAAUUUGUUGUUAAUAAAAAACACCCUCUUCC